ensembl:snoRNA Gm26079 predicted gene, 26079
UUUCCUCAGCCUUACUCCAGGGGCAUCUUGCCUGUAGAGUGCCCUGGCAUUGCCUGAGGAUAAAAGAAAAAGCACAGCUACCUCCCCAGCAAGAUUCCACUUUCUUGUGGGGCCUACAGACUGGGCUGACAGC